rnacentral:rRNA from 1 species
GACGAACCGUCCGAACGUUAUUCGGAAUCACUGGGCUUAAAGGGUGCGUAGGCGGCGCAGUAAGUAGGGUGUGAAAUCCCUCGCUUAACCGAGGAACUGCGCCCUAAACUACUGUGCUCGAGGGAGAUAGAGGUGAGCGGAACUUAGGGUGGAGCGGUGAAAUGCGUUGAUAUCCUAAGGAACACCGGUGGCGAAAGCGGCUCACUGGAUCUCUUCUGACGCUGAGGCACGAAAGCUAGGGUAGCGAACGGG